GUAUUCCCCACCAACACGCGUUACUCCUUCCAAGGUUCUGCAUCCAGCUGAACUCACGGCACCUGCAGAGGAGUUUGAGCUCUGAAGACUUGGAGGACCUAUGGGCUAAGCUCGACACUAUCUUGUGGGAGGAAGUAAUAAGAAUGCGGAUGCGUCAGAGAGAGGACUCGGUGGGAAGAAGAGGUUCUGGCGAGGCUGCUCUCAAAAUUGCCGGCCAGAAUGGGCGGGCUAGGUUUGCUUUCCUUCAAAUACAUCGCUCCUCUUGCUUACUGAUCGGCUUGCGAGUCUUUUGAUCUCCUCCUGAGCAAUCUCGGCCUAAUCCCGACUGCAGAAGAGCCCUCCCCUGCUAUCACUCAACGCACUGUUGCGCCGAGCUCUGGGAUACCCAACGUGAAACAAUGCCCCAAAAUCUCAACGACAUUCAACGCAAGAGACUGACCGAGAAUUCCUCCAAGCUCGGCCGCAGCUGUCUGUCCACUAUCCCCUUCAACCAACCACUACGACUUUCCAAUACCGACGUGGCUUCAGCCCUCCAUGAUCGCAGUCUGGCCGGAUCCUCCAUCCCCACUUGUAGCUUCUGCGGGCUAUCGCUUCGUUUGGGCAUGACGAUCCAUGCUGCUCUCGCAACCCAUGGACUCAACGACGCCAUGACGCCAUCAACCGAACCAUACAUCAACAUCUCAACCAGGUUAAGGGCGCUGUUGUCGAAAUUGAGCCGAAGCGACGGAGUGGGAAGAGGAGGAUACGUUAGACCUUGGCUCUCUUGGGUGUUGACUGACAUAUCAUCAAUCAACAUUCACCCCAUCUAUGACCAUCUGUGAAACCAUGCUCGACAUUAGAUCGAGAUAAAAUGCUGUCACUGUUGUGACGGCGAGCCAUUGCAUGGAAUGCCUCUCCAAGCCAUUCGGCAGCGCAUCAUAUUUCGCAGCACGCCGCUCUUCCUGUAUGAGUUGAGAAUUGUUGGCAAAGGAUGCAGUUAGUCCUUGUAAUGUGGUGUUGAUGUUAUAUGUGGCCUUAAACAAGGCAGUGAAGUUGGUAGAGAGAUAAUCGGAAAGUUCAGAGAUAAGUUGCCUUGCAUCCUCGCUCAUGCUUGCUUACGCGCUUUGCGCUUCUGCAAGCACCUUCGCUUCAAAGGCAAGGAAAGCGGGGGUGUAUAUAGCAGAACGGAAGAAGAAGACGUGAGGCGGAGAAGACGGGAUAAUUGGGCCGAUAAAGAUUAGCCGAGGAGACGAGAAUGAAGAGAGGAAGAGAGGAGGGGAAAAGAAACCGGAUCAGAAGAUACCCUCGGGAGAUCAGAGUCGGAGAGAGAAAGAGGAAAAGUGAUGCUCAAGGAGGAUAAAGAUUGGGCAGCUGUACAUUUAGGAAAAGAUAUAUAAAGAGCUCUUCGUGUAGACGAAAUGAAAGACAAUCUUAAUAUCCUUCAC
rnacentral:sRNA from 1 species